UACGGAGGGUGCGAGCGUUGUCCGGAAUCACUGGGCGUAAAGGGCGCGUAGGCGGCGCGGAUAGUCGGCGGUGAAAGCCCGGAGCUCAACUCCGGGUCGGCCGUCGAUACUUCCGGGCUUGAGCACUGUAGAGGCAGAUGGAAUUCCGGGUGUAGCGGUGGAAUGCGUAGAGAUCCGGAAGAACACCGGUGGCGAAGGCGGUCUGCUGGGCAGUUGCUGACGCUGAUGCGCGACAGCGUGGGGAGCAAACGAGGGAUUAGAAAACCCGU
rnacentral:rRNA from 1 species